ensembl:misc_RNA
UUGCAGCAAUGGAAACUGAAGUCCUCUGUUUAUUCACAGGCUAGGCAUGGUGCAGGCAGCCGCAUUGCGAGCUUCCAUACACUGCUACCCUGCUAAGAUCUCCACCCUGGCCUGGAGGAAGCAUCCUCUCUAGGGGUGUAAAGGUAACUCGCCUCCAUGUAGCCUAGCCCUUUGGUGGCGCU